rnacentral:rRNA from 1 species
UACGUAGGGUGCAAGCGUUGUCCGGAAUUAUUGGGCGUAAAGAGCUCGUAGGCGGUCUGUCGCGUCUGCUGUGAAAACUCAGGGCUUAACCCUGAGCUUGCAGUGGGUACGGGCAGACUAGAGUGCGGUAGGGGAGACUGGAAUUCCUGGUGUAGCGGUGAAAUGCGCAGAUAUCAGGAGGAACACCGGUGGCGAAGGCGGCAUUCUGGACCGAUAUUGACGGCUGAGGAAGCGGAAAGCCCAGGGGAGCAAACGGG